CUACGGGUGGCUCCAGUGAGGAAUAUUGCACAAUGGGGGGAACCCUGAUGCAGCAACGCCGCGUGGAGGAUGGCGCAUUUCGGUGUGUAAACUCCUUUUAUAUGUCAAGAAAAUGACGGUAGCAUAUGAAUAAGCACCGGCUAACUCCGUGCCAGCAGCCGCGGUAAUACGGAGGGUGCAAGCGUUACUCGGAAUCACUGGGCGUAAAGGACGCGUAGGCGGGUUGGAAAGUCAGGUGUGAAAUCCUACAGCUUAACUGUAGAACUGCACUUGAAACUUCUAAUCCAGAGUAUGGGAGGGGGAGAUGGAAUUAGUGGUGUAGGGGUAAAAUCCGUAGAUAUCACUAGGAAUACCUAAAGCGAAGGCGAUCUCCUGGAACAUUACUGACGCUAAGGCGUGAAAGCGUGGGGAGCAAACAGGAUUAGAUACCCCCGUAGUC
rnacentral:rRNA from 1 species